UGGGGAAUAUUGCACAAUGGGGGAAACCCUGAUGCAGCGACGCCGCGUGAGUGAAGAAGUAUUUCGGUAUGUAAAGCUCUAUCAGCAGGGAAGAAAAUGACGGUACCUGACUAAGAAGCCCCGGCUAACUACGUGCCAGCAGCCGCGGUAAUACGUAGGGGGCAAGCGUUAUCCGGAUUUACUGGGUGUAAAGGGAGCGUAGGUGGUAUGGUAAGUCAGAAGUGAAAACCCAGGGCUCAACCUUGGGAUUGCUUUUGAAACUAUCAGACUAGAGUGCAGGAGGGGUAAGUGGAAUUCCUAGUGUAGCGGUGAAAUGCGUAGAUAUUAGGAGGAACACCAGUGGCGAAGGCGGCUUACUGGACUGUAACUGACACUGAGGCUCGAAAGCGUGGGGAGCAAACAGGAUUAGAUACCCUGGUAGUCCCUGAGACU
rnacentral:rRNA from 1 species